UGCAAGUCGAACGCUGAAGCCGACAGCUUGCUGUUGGUGGAUGAGUGGCGAACGGGUGAGUAACACGUGAGUAACCUGCCCCUGAUUUCGGGAUAAGCCUGGGAAACUGGGUCUAAUACCGGAUAUGACCAAUCCUUGCAUGAGGGUUGGUGGAAAGUUUUUCGAUCGGGGAUGGGCUCGCGGCCUAUCAGCUUGUUGGUGGGGUAAUGGCCUACCAAGGCGACGACGGGUAGCCGGCCUGAGAGGGCGACCGGCCACACUGGGACUGAGACACGGCCCAGACUCCUACGGGAGGCAGCAGUGGGGAAUAUUGCACAAUGGGGGAAACCCUGAUGCAGCGACGCAGCGUGCGGGAUGACGGCCUUCGGGUUGUAAACCGCUUUCAGCAGGGAAGAAGCGAAAGUGACGGUACCUGCAGAAGAAGUACCGGCUAACUACGUGCCAGCAGCCGCGGUAAUACGUAGGGUACGAGCGUUGUCCGGAAUUAUUGGGCGUAAAGAGCUCGUAGGUGGUUGGUCACGUCUGCUGUGGAAACGCAACGCUUAACGUUGCGCGUGCAGUGGGUACGGGCUGACUAGAGUGCAGUAGGGGAGUCUGGAAUUCCUGGUGUAGCGGUGAAAUGCGCAGAUAUCAGGAGGAACACCGGUGGCGAAGGCGGGACUCUGGGCUGUAACUGACACUGAGGAGCGAAAGCAU
rnacentral:rRNA from 1 species